CCACGCAACCGCACGCGCAUCACGUUGUGCACUGCACAUGGAUCGGGUCGAGGUUACCACGCCACACCCAGCGGACCGAGGCGGAGUGGCUGUGCUGAACUGUAUCCGCCAGUAGCACCCACACAGCCAGCGCCAGCUCCGAGUGAGAUGUCCAGAGGAGGCGGCGCGUCCAGCGGCCUCUCAGCGCCACAGGGGCCGCGAAACAGUUGAACAUAUUCGGGCAUAGUUUGCGAACAACACUGUUUGCGUGCGUAUAUUUUUGUCGGAGCUGUAGCCACUUUUUUUGGAGGAAUGAGAGGCGUAUGUCCGGCUCUCAACAUGGGAUUGUUUUUGCACGCUGUUGGCUCUGUCACCCCCACCGAGUCCGCAGCAGACAGGAGCCUACUGCACUGUGAAGGUGUGAACAACCAGAGCUACGUCUGUGAGUCCGGACACUGCUGCGGGGAGUCCCUGUGCUGCAGCUACUACUAUGAGCUCUGGUGUAAGUAUCCUGCUUAAGAUAUACAUACCCCUUGUCACUUUCUCGCAAAACCCCUCCACUAUUGAGGGAUUGACAGGCCUGGGAUAUUUAGCUACCUCAAUAAUUCUGUUGUUGCCGAAACAUCUCAGCACCCCUGAGGAUUAUUAGUAAUAACAAAUACAUUUAGAUUUAUUUUAAGUAUGGGCGUGUUUUGGAUUCUCCAACAUUUUUCAAGAACUUUAUUGUUAUUAUGAAAGCACAACCACAUUGGAGUUGGGACAGCCUCAAAUGGUACAUAUAAUUAAAAAAAGAAACACAUGGAAUAGAUAAGGCAUGGAUUGGCCAAUAUAACAACAUUUUAGCAUUAUAAGGGUAACAUAUCCAUAAAUUCCAGGAAAAAAAGUGUAAUAUAUUAGCAGCAGCAAAAGUUACAGCCAAGCAUCGGUCCAGUUCACCAAACCGACAUUGGGACAAAUCUCAUCUGGACAACAUUGGUCAGUUUCUAGGAAUUCUUUUUUUCCCCCUCAUUCCACAACCCAUGUGCCUGUGGUACCCCAUCCCCUGCAGGACACUGGUCUGUGUUACAGAGUACAUGUUGAGAUCAGGGAGUCCUCUCCGGGCCAGUGUCAUCUACAUGACUCCACAACACCAACCUGUGAGAGGUGUCAUGUUCGAUGUUCAAGAGUCUGACUGCCGAGAACUGGGGCGUGACUGACUGCCAGCACAACAAGUAACUGCACUACUGAUCUACUAACAAAAUUCUGAAUGAACACUUGUGUCCCCACCUUCACUGGCAACAUUUCCCUGAGGUUCAAGGGCAGACUUUGGAAAGGCGCUCGCUUAAAGGCCAGCUCAGAUGGACAUUUGGACUCAACACUGCUCCUUUAGAUCAAAUGUCACAUUUCUCAGACGGCAAAAGGGUGAUAUCAGACGCUCGACUGAAGGGCAGGAUGUUCCUCACAGCGGGGACUGCCUUCAGGCGGGUGAAAAAUACAUACCAACCAUAAAUUAGUAACAUUCAAACUAAUUUGACAACAUUUUGUGAACCUGCAUUCUAAACCAUUUGUAAGCUAUGUCAUAUUACCUUUUUUCAGAUUCAGCUGAUAGAGCAUCAGAGCUUCCGGAAUUUGACAAAGACUACGUAGAAAAUGUCCAAAAAUGUUCAUUUUUUUACAAAUUCUUCUUAGAUUGGAGUUUUUUUUGUGCAAAAAGUAAAGAACCUUAAGUUUAAAAUAAUUAAUAAUGUAAAGAUAUCUUUCUUGGGAUUACCAUAAAAUAGUGAUGGUAGGAGUCCCUGGGUUAUUGAAACACAAAAAAUGUAACGUAAAUGAAAUUAUUACAUUUUUUGAAACAUGUUAAAUGUACUUUUUGAUUCAAGGUAUGUUAUGUUUCAGCUAAACCUCCUUUCCACUCUGAAAAAUGUUUACAUGUGAUAUAAUGUAAUGAUACGUGUAUAUGCAGUAUUAAAUGUAUUACUUUACACAGAUUCUGCUUGGAAAAUAUUCAAUAAAUGUCUGUGAUAAUGUAGCCGCAUUAUUUCCACAAGGUGGGCAUGACAUAAGAUGUUUGAUAUGCUCAGACAUGAUGUCUGUCUGGGCUCCAUCCAUGUUUCUGACCUGACCCUGUAACCUUUUUAAAUCGUCUGCUCCAAAUCUUC